rnacentral:rRNA from 1 species
UACGGAGGGGGCUAGCGUUAUUCGGAAUUAUUGGGCGUAAAGGGCGUGUAGGCGGCUUCGUAAGUCUCGUGUGAAAGCCCUCGGCUCAACCGAGGAAUUGCACGAGAAACUGCGUGGCUCGAGUCCGGGAGAGGAUAGUGGAAUUCCCAGUGUAGCGGUGAAAUGCGUAGAUAUUGGGAGGAACACCGGUGGCGAAGGCGGCUAUCUGGACCGGUACUGACGCUGAGACGCGAAAGCCAGGGGAGCAAACGGGAUUAGAUACCCCGGUAGUCCUGGCUGUAAACGAUGAGAACUUGGUGUGGCGGGUAUCGACCCCUGCCGUGCCGAAGCUAACGCAUUAAGUUCUCCGCCUGGGGAGUACGGUCGCAAGACUGAA